rnacentral:rRNA from 1 species
GAUUAUGGCUCAGGAUUAACGCUGGCGGCAUGCCUAAUACAUGCAAGUCGAAUGGUUAGCUUGCUAGACCAUGGCGAACGGGUGAGUAACACGUAGGUAACCUACCUUAAGGACGAGGAUAACCUUUGGGAAACGAAGGAUAAUACUGGAUAGGACAUUACAAAGCACAUGCUUAAAUGUUUAAAGGAGCGAAUCCACCAUAAGAGGGGCCUGCGGCGCAUUAGCUAGUUGGUGAGGUAAAGGCCCACCAAGGCGAUGAUGCGUAGCUGGACUGAGAGGUUGAACAGCCACAAUGGGACUGAGAACGGCCCAUACUCCUACGGGAGGCAGCAGUAGGGAAUUUUCGGCAAUGGGCAAAAGCCUGACCGAGCAAUCGGCCGCGUGAUCGAAGAAGUUAUUUCGGUAUGUAAAGAUCUUUUAUCGGGGAAGAAAAGACAGAUUGACUGAACCUGAUGAAUAAGCUCCGGCUAACUACGUGCCAGCCGCUGC